UACGGGGGGUGCAAACAUUGCUCGGAAUUAUUGGGCGUAAAGCGCACGUAGGCGGUCCUCUAAGUCGGGUGUGAAAGCCCGGGGCUUAACCCCGGAAGUGCACUCGAAACUGGAGGGCUUGAGUAUGGAAGAGGGUCUCGGAAUUCCCGGUGUAGAGGUGAAAUUCGUAGAUAUCGGGAGGAACACCAGUGGCGAAGGCGGAGACCUGGGCCAAUACUGACGCUGAGGUGCGAAAGCGUGGGGAGCAAACAGG
rnacentral:rRNA from 1 species